GACGAACGCUGGCGGCGUGCUUAACACAUGCAAGUCGAACGGAAAGGCCCUGCUUUUGUGGGGUGCUCGAGUGGCGAACGGGUGAGUAACACGUGAGUAACCUGCCCUUGACUUUGGGAUAACUUCAGGAAACUGGGGCUAAUACCGGAUAGGAGCUCCUGCUGCAUGGUGGGGGUUGGAAAGUUUCGGCGGUUGGGGAUGGGCUCGCGGCUUAUCAGCUUGUUGGUGGGGUAGUGGCUUACCAAGGCUUUGACGGGUAGCCGGCCUGAGAGGGUGACCGGCCACAUUGGGACUGAGAUACGGCCCAGACUCCUACGGGAGGGAGCAGUGGGGAAUAUUGCACAAUGGGCGGAAGCCUGAUGCAGCAACGCCGCGUGCGGGAUGACGGCCUUCGGGUUGUAAACCGCUUUCGCCUGUGACGAAGCGUGAGUGACGGUAAUGGGUAAAGAAGCACCGGCUAACUACGUG
rnacentral:rRNA from 1 species